rnacentral:rRNA from 1 species
GACGAACGCUGGCGGCGUGCUUAACACAUGCAAGUCGAACGGAAAGGCCCUGCUUUUGUGGGGUGCUCGAGUGGCGAACGGGUGAGUAACACGUGAGUAACCUGCCCUUGACUUUGGGAUAACUUCAGGAAACUGGGGCUAAUACCGGAUAGGAGCUCCUGCUGCAUGGUGGGGGUUGGAAAGUUUCGGCGGUUGGGGAUGGACUCGCGGCUUAUCAGCUUGUUGGUGGGGUAGUGGCUUACCAAGGCUUUGACGGGUAGCCGGCCUGAGAGGGUGACCGGCCACAUUGGGACUGAGAUACGGCCCAGACUCCUACGGGAGGCAGCAGUGGGGAAUAUUGCACCAUGGGCGGAAGCCUGAUGCAGCAACGCCGCGUGCGGGAUGACGGCCUUCGGGUUGGAAACCGCUUUCGCCUGUGACGAAGCGUGAGUGACGGUAAUGGGUAAAGAAGCACCGGCUAACUACGUG